CCCUCGCCAAAGUGUGUACAGAGGGAACAUUCCUGAACAUAAUCAAAGCCAUUUAUGAUAAACCCACAGCAAAUAUAAUACUCAAUGGGGAAAUACAUAAGUGUUUUAAAUGCUGCUUUUUCUUUGGUAAUACACCAAAUGUUUGCACAAGCAAAAAGGAUUAGAGAAAAAUAUGAUGAAUUUCCCACUGCAUUUGAAAGAAUGUGAAGGAACAGUUUGGAUAAUCCAAGCACAUGUCGCAAUCUGUAGAAAAUGACCUUUGUCUUCAGAGAUGGAGACAUGUCCUUUAAAAACACUGAUUUAAAAGGAGAAUAUGUUUUACAAUGUAUCACAGUGCACAAGCAGGCCCAGAUAUUCUGUGGAUUGAGUUUGAGGUUCUUAAGGUUUUUCUAAAUGUCUCCAGCUGGGUGGGAGCAGGAGUGAAAGGAUGGUGUAAUAGUUGAGCAAACAGCUGAGUUAAAUGAAUUGGACUUGGAAUUAGGGCUCUAUCAUCCAUCAGAUGUGUGAAUUCUUGGCAAGGAUACUUCACUUCUCUGAGACUCAGUUUCUUCACCUUCAAAAUGGGUUUCUUAACACCUGCCUUGAAGGUGGUCAGGAAAAUUAAAUGACUGAUGUAUUUAAGGCACUUGGGUUCUAAUUGCAUGAUUCUAGAUUGGGGCACCCAGCAUUUUAUCAACCACCAUCAAUUCUCAUGUUGUGGAUUAAAAAAUGACAGGACAUGUAACUGCCCACGUAGGACCAGUGUUUAUCUGUCCCUUAUUAAGUGAAGCAGUCACGACCUAAAGGAAUGGUAUUGUUAGAAUUUGAAUCUAGGUUGAAGCUUUCUUUCUUCUUUGGCUUGUUGCUUUUAGUUGAAGUGGAUAGAAGGUUUCCUCUUUCCCAGAAAUUCCCAGCAUGGAAUGUUGCUGUGAUUUCAUGGCAGCUUUUGUGGAUUUUGUGCCCAAGGACCUGGAUCCAAGGAUUGGUUUUACAACAUUCCAGCCCAGCUGUAGGAAAAUGGGAUAGUCAUACACCAUCUAAAUUCCCUUUGCAUGAAAUGGAAAAUCAAGGUUUCUUACUCACAAUGGGCUUGAAAGGAUUGCUUGAAGCAAUGUAUAUACAUAUUGUUUAUGAGUUUGGAAUCCAAAUGGUUAGCGUUUGCUAUUAUACCAACUGGGCCAUUUUCUUUGAUCUGGCAUGA
rnacentral:lncRNA from 1 species